rnacentral:lncRNA from 1 species
CCGCGAGUCAACAAGAAACUAACGAAGCAUUAUUCUGUGCCACUUGAUCUUCGAGAGCAGCCGAAAACUCUGCGGAAGAAGUGUUUAGGGCCAGAAGUUCUGUGCUGGAGGAAUGGAUUUGGCCUCCGAGUCUGACUUUGCCUACCCCUGCUCUACGCUGUGUGAAGCACUUUGGGUGACUUGUGUCAUGUAAAAAGUGACACUUUCUAUGCAGUUGGAACAAAUCACCUCUUGGCACCUCUGAGUGGGAACAUAAUACAAAGUACAUUCUGUAUUCACCGAGCACUGUGAACCAAGGCAUUGUCAGUACAGCAAUAAGUCAUUCCCCAUAUCAUCGCUGGCCCUCUGUUUAUUCAGCGGCAGGGUCAGGGGUGUCGACCCACUUCUCUGCACUGUCAUCACAUGACCUUUGGGUGACAUCGCUCCGGGAGACGGCCUGCAGACUCAGCAUAUCUCUACUCAUCUGCCGUCAAUCACACUGACAAAGAGGACCGCGGCUGGUCAGUGCCGAUUCUUAAAUGUUACUUUUGCCAAACUUUGUCAUUCUGUUUCCUAAAGAUUGUAGCUAUUAUUUGG